CUCCGACUGAACUUUAUCGUUAUUUAUAUGUUUAGUUUAUUGCGCAGCAGUAUGCCGUUUCUCCGACGUGCUGCAGCUUGAUUUAUCGCUGGUGAUCACCCCUCUCGCUAGUACAAAAUGGUCGAUUCCGUUGGAGCAUGCUCUGCACAGAAAUAUACUUGUGCCCUGUGUAUAUGCAGAUCUACCACUGUCAGCGGCCAAGAGCCCCCCAGCCUGUCCAUCAUGAAUACAGCGCUGCUUAUUGGAAAGCACAGGUUCCACUAACAGGCAGCUUUCAAAUGGGCGUCGCUGACCCCUUCUAACAAGCAA